rnacentral:lncRNA from 1 species
UUGGAUAACACACAACAGAAUUAAGGUGGAAAAUGAAGCUAAAAAAUCUUAUUCCUCAUUGUGUAGUCCUGGUCAAUAUUGUGUACCAAACAUGGACAAAUUGUGUACUACUGUGCUUCAAUUUUAGAUCUAUUGCAAAUAUUCUUUAUUAUCUGCAAGCUAAUCUUAUACUCGACUCAUCUUGUAUCGAUCUACAGGAAAAAGAUGCACGAUGUUUGGAUGUGGAAACCAAUGACAUCACAGGUGUAUGGUACUGAGAAACCAUCAAAUUUUUGUAUGUUCACUAUUCGGAGCCCAUAUGUCUGAUCAUUUUUCUUGUAUGUGCCUUGUGAACUAGUGCCUGCACAGCUACUUCUACCUAGUCAAUUUUCCCCCCAAUUUUUUUCCUUGGAUUCUAAGCUGAAAGAAAUAUAUAUAUAUGAUGGUAGAUGGUUAUUAUGUUAUUCUAGUUUGUUCCCUUCCCUUUCCCUUUGUUUCCAUGUCUGUUUAAACUUCUUCCUAAGCAAAUUUUUGGUUUCAUUCUAGCAUUGUUGCAUGUUUCUUCGAAUUUGAUGUUCGGAGAACCCUUUGAGUGUAACCAUGUAUAAUUACUGUAGUCAAUAAGUUUGACCACUUGUAACUGGUUCUUGUUUACUUUUAUCUUGUUCAUAUUUUCCGUCCCUACUUUCUUCUUUUCAAUUCUUUGGAUAACAGCUAAAUUCCCAUUUGGCGCUAUCACCUUCCAUGAAAUUGGCGAUCUCUGCUAUAAAUGUUUCCACUUUCCUGGAGACAAGCAUUCGAGUCCUGCAAUUAGAAAGAUUUAUUUCUACCUGGAAAAUUAUUGAUCGUUUCUUUUUGUGGCUUGUGAUUGAUGGCCGAUAUUACUUGCUUUUCUUAAUCAAUUGUCGACUCUCAUUUACUGACUGUAAUUCUAUAACGUUCCCAGGGUAAUGCAUUUAUUUUUAUUUAGCAAAAACUUAUUUCAUGAAAAGCUGUGGCUGAAACCUCCAGCAUUAAAGUGAAAUUCCCUUUGGCAGUGAUGUUUUAUUUUUUCCUUUACCUGUCUGUUUCUUUUUCUGCAAAUUAGAUGGAUUUUUGGCCAUUUUGGUUGCUUUUUCACAUCUUGAAUCUUAGAUCUUAUGGUCCUAUCAGAGGCGGAAUGCCCUUAAAUUACUAGAAAUUCUGAAAAUAGCACUAGAAAUCCAUCUUUAUUCUUUGAAAUUCCAGGUUCCAUUUCCACUCUGGAACGUGAGAAAAAGAUUGGAAAAUCGAUUUCCAGUCUUUUCUUUUGCCGUUCUGGAGACCUGGUUCAGACCAGGAAGAAUAUCAUUCACAUACCAAACUCCCAAGGAACCACCCUGAUUCACUCCUAAGGCGAACUGGCGAGCAAAUUUACCCAAUGAUCUUUAUCAACUUUUUGGAUUGCGGUAAUGCGAAUGGCAAGGCACGAAAAAGUGAAAGUGUAAUUUGCUGUGAUUGAUUAUUUUUGUUAAUAUAUCCUGUUUUCGAGUUUGAAGCAGAAGUUGAAGCGGAAAACUUCUGAAUAUUUAUGUGGUCGG